GACUAUUCGCAUGCUCUGAGUGUACAAGGUUUUUUGAUCAUCCCACCUGUCAUCUUUGUGUACAGUGUAUACAAUAAGAAGUGAUAAUAUAUAGACUCAUGGCCACGUUGGACACCCCUUGCUGGGGGCUGCCGAUGCCCGUCACCAUCACGAACAAUCACUAAACACGUUUCGUGUGAACUGUCACUGCAUAUUAUCACGUACCACGUGCGUCGCUCGCGUCUGUCUCGACUCGACUGACAUGAUCACACGACUGGCGCGAGUCGGCACUUCGGCAGCCGGCGAGGGCACGCGUACGACCUGCGUGGUGCAGCGAUGCUGUCGCGUGCCUCUUAGGUCCUCUGGGCACGACGCGGGACGCGUGUCACUUGCUCAAGACUCAGAAAAUAUUAUACACAUUGUUACUUAAAUUAUUAGAAAAAAGCAAUAUUAAUUUCACAGAAUUAUAAAUAGAUUUUAUAAGAUGGACAUAUAUAAAUAAAAAUGAAUCCUUGAAAUGUAUGUACGCGCAUAUCUGUCGAACGAUUACACGAAAUUUAUUACCAAGUUCUUUUUUGUGUUCAUUAUUAUAACAACGAGGAUUG